rnacentral:rRNA from 1 species
GACGAACGCUGGCGGCGUGCUUAACACAUGCAAGUCGAACGGAAAGGCCCUGCUUUUGUGGGGUGCUCGAGUGGCGAACGGGUGAGUAACACGUGAGUAACCUGCCCUUUACUUUGGGAUAACUUCAGGAAACUGGGGCUAAUACCGGAUAGGAGCUCCUGCUUCAUGGUGGGGGUUGGAAAGUUUCGGCGGUUGGGGAUGGACUCGCGGCUUAUCAGCUUGUUGGUGGGGUAGUGGCUUACCAAGGCUUUGACGGGUAGCCGGCCUGAGAGGGUGACCGGCCACAUUGGGAAUGAGAUACGGCCCAGACUCCUACGGGAGGCAGCAGUGGGGAAUAUUGCACAAUGGGCGGAAGCCUGAUGCAGCAACGCCGCGUGCGGGAUGACGGCCUUCGGGUUGUAAACCGCUUUCGCCUGUGACGAAGCGUGAGUGACGGUAAUGGGUAAAGAAGCACCGGCUAACUACGUG